GUAGUCCACGACGUAAACGAUGAGUGCUAAGUGUUGGGGGCUUUCCGGCCCUCGGUGCUGGAGCUAACGUAUUAAGCACUCCGCCUGGGGAUUACGACCGCAAGGUUGAAACUCAAAAGAAUUGACGGGGACCCGCACAAGCGGUGGAGCAUGUGGUUUAAUUCGAAGCAACGCGAAGAACCUUACCAGCUCUUGACAUCUUCUGACAACUCUAGAGAUAGAGCGUUCCCUUCGGGGACAGAAUGACAGGUGGUGCAUGGUUGUCGUCAGCUCGUGUCGUGAGAUGUUGGGUUAAGUCCCGUAACGAGCGCAACCCUUGUUGUUAGUUGCCAGCAUUAAGUUGGGCACUUUAACGAGACUGCCGGUGAUAAACCGGA
rnacentral:rRNA from 1 species